rnacentral:rRNA from 1 species
UACGAAGGCCCCAAGCGUUAUCCGGAUUAUUGGGCGUAAAGCGUUAAUAGGCGGCUUGAUAAGUCACUGGUCAAAUCCGCGGGCUCAACCCGUGGACUGCUAGUGAAACUGUCUGGCUUGAGGUCGGAAGAGGCAAGCGGAACUACCGGUGUAGCGGUAAAAUGCGUUCAUAUCGGUAGGAACACCAAAGGCGAAGGCGGCCCACUGGUCCGGUACUGACGCUGAGGUGCGAAAGCGUGGGGAGCAAACAGG